AUCAUGGCUCCAAAAGAUGAUGUUGAUUCUUUUGUGGACAUUAUCAUCUUUCAAAAUAAUUUUUCAGCACGAUUAGGGUUGAAUCUUAAAACACGGAGUUCACCGUUGCAUCCGGAACGGUCGAAAAUGGUGGAAUUGACACUUUGUGGCUGAAAUUCCACUAUAUGGGCAAAACUGUAAUUUUUGAAAGUUGAGGGACUAAUCUGCAAUUUCAGAGAGUUGACUGGUCGUCUU
rnacentral:lncRNA from 1 species